AGAGUUUGAUCCUGGCUCAGGAUGAACGCUAGCUACAGGCUUAACACAUGCAAGUCGAGGGGCAGCAUGAUCGAAGCUUGCUUUGAUUGAUGGCGACCGGCGCACGGGUGAGUAACGCGUAUCCAACCUUCCCUAUAGUAGAGAAUAGCCCGGCGAAAGUCGGAUUAAUGCUCUAUGUUGUAUUUAGAGGACAUCUGAAGAAUACCAAAGGUUUACCGCUAUAGGAUGGGGAUGCGUCUGAUUAGGUUGUUGGCGGGUAACGGCCCACCAAGCCCACGAUCAGUAGGGGUUCUGAGAGGAAGGUCCCCCACAUUGGAACUGAGACACGGCCCAAACUCCUACGGGAGGCAGCAGUGAGGAAUAUUGGUCAAUGGACGGAAGUCUGAACCAGCCAAGUAGCCGUGCAGGAUGACGGCCCUAUGGGUUGUAAACUGCUUUUAUACAGGGAUAAAGUGUGGGACGUGUCCCUUUUUGUAGGUACUGUAUGAAUAAGGACCGGCUAAUUCCGUGCCAGCCGCCGC
rnacentral:rRNA from 1 species